UCAAAAGCUCCGUCUCGUCGUUCCCAACAUGACUGUGAUGUUGUUCCUCCAUGGGAAGCUUUGGUGAGAGAGAAAAGAAGGAGGGAAGGUGGCUGUUUUUCCAAUCGGGUUUCCGAUUCGGGCGACGGCGGCGAGCGUGAAUGGUACUGUAAGCUGCCUCUCGUCCUCGUGGUCUUCUCUAUGUCCUCAGUUUCUUCAGAAGAGGUCGGGAGAGAGAGAUUCGAAGUGAAGAAGGAGAGACUCGGUUCGCCGGUGAGUUUCCGAUUCCGGCCAAGUCGUGGUCUCUCACCGGUGUGGAUAGCUUUUUCUCCUCAUCCACGACGUCCCUGUAACUUCAGCUUGUCGAGAUGAGGUCAGGUGAGGGAGAAUCGAAGAGAAGAAGGUUUGGGAUUUUCCGGCAAGGGUUCGAAGCCUUCCGGCCACCGGCGAAGGCAAGUGAGGUAUGGAACUUGAUCUUCUUGUUGAGCUCUACCUGUUUAUAUAAUUGAAACUGAGUUUUGUUGAGUUUGGAGGAAGUUGGAUUUUUGGCAAUGGGUGACUGCCGUACUUGCCGCCGUGCACGACGGUGGUGAAGGUGUUUGAUUCAUAUCUGGUUUCGGAUUUCAUGUUAUAUGUGUAGUUGAGAUGCAGUUUUGAUUGAGAAUUGAAGGGGUUGGAAUUUGCAGAAAUGGAGAAGCUGGGUGAUGGAGAGGGAUGAUGAGCUGUGUGCUCGGUGAUUGCAGUGGAAGUUUUGGUAUUGUCUGUUUAAGUUCUGACAUAAAUGAAGCUGCAGAAAAGAUGUUAGUUGUGUAUAUACUUAUUUCCAAGAAGCUGGAAGAAUUGGGUAAUUAGAUGGUUAAGUCUUGCUGAAGAAUUACGUAGUAUGGUCGAUUACGAUGUUAGGAGCCAAAGCAUAUAUAAUUGUAGGUUCUGGGCUUUUCUGUUAAUGGAAGUUGAAGUGCGAAUAUUAAUACUGUGAAGAUUAAGUUUCAUAGUUUGUCUUAAUAUGGAUUGUGGCAAGCAAUGGAGCUAGAUGGUAUAUGUUAUGGCAAAUAAAGCAUGUGCAUCCGGAAAAGUGGAAGCAAUGGUAUGAUUGAGCAUUGUUGGCAGAAUAAUGGUAUGAGGAUGCAUGGUAAUUGGAAGGUGUUCAAGACAAGGCUUGGAAGGAAGGACACAUUAUGGGUGUAUGGUAUUUUGGGUGUCCAGAGUAAUUCUGGAGGAGUUUGGAUGGGUGUUUGGAGCAUAGUUGGGAUACGCCGACAAAGUUAACUACAAAUGUAGAUUUAAAAGGUGGGGAUAAUGUGAAUGAAUACAUAUGGUAUAUGAUUCGGAAGUUAUCAAAAAUGUGAGAGGAAUUGGAAAUAAGGAUUUGGGUGUCCUUAUCAAUUUCAAGGACUUGAUCGUUUCUAAUAAAAGUGUUUGCCGACUUCCUUGGAACAAGGCGAUAUGAGGAUCGAAUGCAAGUAGCAGGUUCCAGAAGUAGAAGGAUAAAGAUUUCAGAAUGCGUGUCGUAACGUUACUAAUUUUAGCUGGCGUCAGAACUAACACUCGGAUUUCAGGUUCGGCGUCAGGUGCUUGGAAACCACCGACACCGGGUCUAGGGUGUGACACCUUAUGUGUCUACUAUUUGUUCUCGGUGGCAGCCACCUAGUCCAGGUGGACUGAGACUAGCGGCAGGAGAACCCAGCUU